GGGCGGUCUCCUCCCAAAGCGUAACGGAGGAGCACGAAGGUUAGCUAAUCCUGGUCGGACAUCAGGAGGUUAGUGCAAUGGCAUAAGCUAGCUUGACUGCGAGCGUGACGGCGCGAGCAGGUGCGAAAGCAGGUCAUAGUGAUCCGGUGGUUCUGAAUGGAAGGGCCAUCGCUCAACGGAUAAAAGGUACUCCGGGGAUAACAGGCUGAUACCGCCCAAGAGUUCAUAUCGACGGCG
rnacentral:rRNA from 1 species